rnacentral:rRNA from 1 species
GCAAUGGCGGCGUGCUUACACAUGCAGUCGAACGAUGAUCCGGUGCUUGCGCCGGGGAUUAGUGGCGAACGGGUGAGUAACACGUGAGUAACCUGCCCUUGACUCUGGGAUAAGCCUGGGAAACUGGGUCUAAUACCGGAUAUGACUCCUCAUCGCAUGGUGGGGGGUGGAAAGCUUUUUGUGGUUUUGGAUGGACUCGCGGCCUAUCAGCUUGUUGGUGGGGUAAUGGCCUACCAAGGCGACGACGGGUAGCCGGCCUGAGAGGGUGACCGGCCACACUGGGACUGAGACACGGCCCAGACUCCUACGGGAGGCAGCAGUGGGGAAUAUUGCACAAUGGGCGAAAGCCUGAUGCAGCGACGCCGCGUGAGGGAUGACGGCCUUCGGGUUGUAAACCUCUUUCAGUAGGGAAGAAGCCCUCUUUGGGGGUGACGGUACUUGCAGAAGAAGCGCCGGCUAACUACGUGCCAGCAGCCGCGGUAAUACGUAGGGCGCAAGCGUUAUCCGGAAUUAUUGGGCGUAAAGAGCUCGUAGGCGGUUUGUCGCGUCUGCUGUGAAAGACCGGGGCUCAACUCCGGUUCUGCAGUGGGUACGGGCAGACUAGAGUGCAGUAGGGGAGACUGGAAUUCCUGGUGUAGCGGUGAAAUGCGCAGAUAUCAGGAGGAACACCGAUGGCGAAGGCAGGUCUCUGGGCUGUAACUGACGCUGAGGAGCGAAAGCAUGGGGAGCGAACAGGAUUAGAUACCCUGGUAGUCCAUGCCGUAAACGUUGGGCACUAGGUGUGGGGGACAUUCCACGUUUUUCCGCGCCGUAGCUAACGCAUUAA